UACGGGGGGGGCAAGCGUUGUUCGGAAUUACUGGGCGUAAAGGGCUCGUAGGUGGCCAACUAAGUCAGACGUGAAAUCCCUCGGCUUAACCGGGGAACUGCGUCUGAUACUGGAUGGCUUGAGUUCGGGAGAGGGAUGCGGAAUUCCAGGUGUAGCGGUGAAAUGCGUAGAUAUCUGGAGGAACACCGGUGGCGAAGGCGGCAUCCUGGACCGACACUGACGCUGAGGCGCGAAAGCUAGGGUAGCAAACGGG
rnacentral:rRNA from 1 species